rnacentral:misc_RNA from 1 species
GGAGGUCUCGCAGUAGCUCUCAUCAGAGCUUUAGGAAGCUCUUUGUUUUUUGAAAUGAUGCUUUUAUGAGAUAGAGCUUUUUUAGAUAAUGCUGGGGAAGGUUUUGCGGUUUGACGCGGAGGGGUUGAAGCUCAAUGGGUUGUAGCGCGCGCUUGAUAAGCGCGAGGUCGGAAGUUCAGAUCCUCCCAGGCCCACCAAUUUACCUAUCCAUUUGCCUUUUUCCGAUUAUUUGCCAAUUUAUCAGUUCAUUGAAUUUAAGUGUUGUUAACUUUUUUGUUAAUGAUGAUAUUUCAUGCUUAAAAAAAAACUCCUUAUAAAAGGCUUGUUUUUAAAAGGUGACUCUUAUCCAUUUCCCUUAAGCCAUAUAACCUUCGCGCGAUUCAAAUGCAAAGGGUUUAAAAUUUUGCGAAACACUUUUAAUUUUAAAGUGAUCCUUUUUCAAGAUCUCCAAUUUUGUAGUUUCCAAUGCUUUAUCCUUUUUGGGGGGCCGUAUCUCGACUGGCUGAGCCCCUGCUUUGCAAGCAAGGGGCCUUCAGAUCAGACCUGCUUUGCAAAUGAGUUACGGCCCGUUCAUCAGCUGGGAGA